rnacentral:rRNA from 1 species
CCUACGGGUGGCAGCAGUGAGGAAUAUUGGUCAAUGGACGAGAGUCUGAACCAGCCAAGUAGCGUGAAGGAUGACUGCCCUACGGGUUGUAAACUUCUUUUAUAAAGGAAUAAAGUGAGGCACGUGUGCCUUUUUGUAUGUACUUUAUGAAUAAGGAUCGGCUAACUCCGUGCCAGCAGCCGCGGUAAUACGGAGGAUCCGAGCGUUAUCCGGAUUUAUUGGGUUUAAAGGGAGCGUAGAUGGGUUUUUAAGUCAGUUGUGCAAGUUUGCGGCUCAAACGUAAAAUUGCAAUUGAUACUGGCAGCCUUGAGUACAGUUGAGGUAGGCGGAAUUCGUGGUGUAGCGGUGAAAUGCUUAGAUAUCACGAAGAACUCCGAUUGCGAAGGCAGCCUACUAAACUGCCACUGACAUUGAUGCUCGAAAGUGUGGGUAUCAAACAGGAUUAGAUACCCCGGUAGUC